rnacentral:rRNA from 1 species
UACGUAGGGGGCUAGCGUUGUCCGGAAUCAUUGGGCGUAAAGAGCGUGUAGGCGGUCCGGUAAGUCCGCUGUGGAAGUCGGGGGCUCAACCCUCGAAUGCCGGUGGAUACUGUCGGGCUAGAGUGCGGAAGAGGCGAGUGGAAUUCCUGGUGUAGCGGUGAAAUGCGCAGAUAUCAGGAGGAACACCUAUUGCGAAGGCAGCUCGCUGGGACGUAACUGACGCUGAGACGCGAAAGCGUGGGGAGCAAACAGG